rnacentral:rRNA from 1 species
GAUGAACGCUGGCGGCGUGCCUAAUACAUGCAAGUCGAGCGAAUGGAUUAAGAGCUUGCUCUUAUGAAGUUAGCGGCGGACGGGUGAGUAACACGUGGGUAACCUGCCCAUAAGACUGGGAUAACUCCGGGAAACCGGGGCUAAUACCGGAUAACAUUUUGAACCGCAUGGUUCGAAAUUGAAAGGCGGCUUCGGCUGUCACUCAUGGAUGGACCCGCGUCGCAUUAGCCAGUUGGUGAGGUAACGGCUCACCAAGGCAACGAUGCGUAGCCGACCUGAGAGGGUGGUCGGCCACACUGGGACUGAGACACGGCCCAGACUCCUACGGGAGGCAGCAGUAGGGAAUCUUCCGCAAUGGACGAAAGUCUGACGGAGCAACGCCGCGUGAGUGAUGAAGGCUUUCGGGUCGUAAAACUCUGUUGUUAGGGAAGAACAAGUGCUAGUUGAAUAAGCUGGCACCUUGACGGUACCUAACCAGAAAGCCACGGCUAACUACGUGCCAGCAGCCGCAGUAA